rfam:Ailuropoda melanoleuca mitochondrion, complete genome.
GUAAAUAUAGUUUAACAAAAACAUUAGAUUGUGAAUCUAGUAAUAAAAGCUUAAAUCUUUUUAUUUACC